GUCCUAGCUGUCCUGUAACUCACCCUGUGGACCAGGCUGGUCUGAAACUCAUAGAGAUCUGCCUGCAUCUACUUCCUGAGUGCUGGGAUUGAAGGCGUGCACCAUCACCGCUCGGCUUGCUUUGCCCUCUAAUGUGGCUUUGAGCUUGUUCUGAAAAAGUGUUCUGAUGGCCCUAGGAAGAUGUGGAAAUUCAAUAGGAACAUAGCGAGAGGGGCUGUGCUGCCUGCCUGUCAACCCGAAUUCUCCCUCUCACAAUGCCGCUGGCCUUGAGGUCUUCACUGGAGUCAAACAUGGUAGCACUAUGCCCUUAAACUUGCUGAGCUGUGAGACUUUACAACAACCUUAUGAAACUGGAAGGAAGUAACUGGGGCUCAGAGACACAGAGAUCAUACCUCUGAAGAGUUGAUGGAGCCAAUUAGAUGCCGAAAACAAACUUUAAACUUAAUUCCUGUGUGGAUUGAAGAUGCAACACCCACUGUAGUCUCAUGUGUUUGGACACUUGAUCUCCAACUGUUCGUGCUGCUAGGAAAAGUUUUGGAACCUUGGGAAGGCAGUGCUUCACUGGGGGUGCUGGGUCAUUGUAGGAAGGCCUUGAGGGCUUCUAGCUCUGCCCUACUUCCAGUUAACCCUAUGCUCCCUGGCAGCAGAUAAAAUGUGAUCAGCCAGGCUUCUAGUUCCUGCCCUCAUGCUCUCCCCACCGUGAUGAACUGAAGCUGUAAACCAAAAUCAACCCUUCCUUUCUUUAAUGGUUUUUGUUACACAAACAAGUAGCUAAUGCAGUCUCCUAAUUCCAAUUCUAGGUUAAGAUAUUCUGUGAAUCCAUCAUGAUAAUUUUAGUUCUGUUGUCUUCUCUAAUGCAGCCAUCAGGGACCAGUUUUAAAACAUUUAAAUGUUGAAGCCAGAAGAGAUUUGAAUCCCAUCAAUCCAUCCUCAUCCUACUACAAAGAAGAAAAACGAAGCCUUAUCUCAGAACCAACUGGCACAAGGCUACAAACCUUGCUAAACUUCAAGAUUGUUGAUUAUUGUUUCCCAAAUCAGUGCACAGAAAAAGAUAGCCAGGAGGUACAGCAAUUGUUAGGGAAAACCAUGGUUGAUGUGUGAAACAGAAAGUGACUCUGAAAAUGGGUUAUCCAGGCACUGUUGCUAAGAAACUCACGCUGUGUCUGUGUAUCCAUCAUGGAAAGGGAGGCUUCAGUGAUUCAUUGACUUCAGCCCAGUUAGCUAUAGUGUACAAGAACAUAGACUCUGAAACUUUUACAGAUCUACUUCCUUUGACAAGGUUUUAAACACCUCAUGGCUCUUUAUUUACAAAGAUGAAGAUUGGGCCUACUGCUGCCUCUUGCUUUCUGCUUCUUGGAGAAUGUUUGAGGAUCCAGUUUCUUCCUACAGAAAACCAUCUGCACUCCUGUAGAUAAACGGGAUCUCUAUGGGCCCACAUGCAAAUUUGCAAAGAUCUCAUGAAAGCAGAGAUGGGUCAAAAAUCUGAUAAGAGGAAUUUAUAGAAAUAUACAUUCACAAUAAACUAGGAUCUCUGUUUUCUGAAGGCUUUUGAAAAAUCACCCUCCAUAAAUGAAGUCAAUUUGUAUGGCUUUUUAAAUUAAGAAUUUGUCUACUUUGGAAAUCACACUUUUACAAAUAACAGGUAUUUGUAAAAUUGGGCAGGACCAGACUUGGAGCCUGGAGAGCAGGGUCCACUAUCACCCUCAUUUCCUAUCUGCAUGAC
ensembl:lncRNA